UACAGAGGUCUCAAGCGUUGUUCGGAUUCAUUGGGCGUAAAGGGUGCGUAGGCGGCGCGGUAAGUCGGGUGUGAAAUCUCGGGGCUUAACUCCGAAACUGCAUUCGAUACUGCCGUGCUUGAGGACUGGAGAGGAGACUGGAAUUUACGGUGUAGCGGUGAAAUGCGUAGAUAUCGUAAGGAAGACCAGUGGCGAAGGCGGGUCUCUGGACAGUUCCUGACGCUGAGACGCGAAAGCGUGGGUAGCAAACAGG
rnacentral:rRNA from 1 species